GGACCUUGGUGAAGAAAAGUCGCCGCGUUCCUCUUGCCUGAUGAAAUCCUCUUCUCGUCUAGAUCUGAGCCUCCGCGUGGCUUCAGGAUCAGAUGCUUGGUCCGAUCGAACAACGAGCUAUGACGUUCCGGGGGAAUCUGGAUCUUGACGGACUGGACAAAUGGGAGGCGUCGACGGGCUUCUAAAGCAUGGUUGAACAAUUGUGAGAUGUGACAUCUUGAAGGCCUUUGCCAUGUUGGGUGCGCUCGCAUGGCAGGCAUCAUAAUAAAGAUGUUGGUUUUGUGUGCUGGGUGGGAGAUCGCACGGGGAAUUGUUUUUUCAUCCCUGGGUUCUUCCGCCCUUUGUGUCCCCAUGCCCUGCUUCGUGUUGUUUGGCUUCUCGUUCUACGCUUCAUCACCGGUGCUGCUGCAAAUUUGUAACAUCCGGCCAAUGUUAGAGAUCACACAUAUCAGUACUAGUGAGUACGUAUUUGAAUUUGUAAUGGUGGUGGGCCGUACUGGGCCGUAGUGGGCUAUACCCAUGACAUUAGUAUAAGUAUGUUGUAAGACUUGAGGAAGGGGUAUGGAAUGAAUAACAGAAACCUUUCCA